rnacentral:rRNA from 1 species
CCCUUAGAUGUUCUGGGCCGCACACGCGCUACACUGAAGGAGGCAGCGUGUACUCCUGGAUCGAAAGAUUUGGGUAACCCGCGAAUCUCCUUCGUGCUAGGGAUUGAGGUUUGCAAUUAUCCUUUAUGAACGAGGAAUUCCCAGUAAGUGCAAGUCAUAAGCUUGCGCUGACUACGUCCCUGCCCUUUGUACACACCACCCGUCGCUACUACCGAUUGAAUGAUUUAGUGAGGACUUCGGACUGGGACCGAUGCGGCUUUCGGGCUGCGUCGGUAUUCUGGAAAGAUGUCCAAACUGUAUCAUUUAGAGGAAGUAAAANUCGUANCA